rnacentral:misc_RNA from 1 species
GAUGAAGAACGUAUCGAAAUGCGAUACGUAAUGUGAAUUGCAGAAUUCCGUGAAUCAUCGAAUCUUUGAACGCACAUUGCGCCCCCUGGCAUUCCGGGGGGCAUGCCUGUCCGAGCGUCAUUUCUGCCCUCAAGCACGGCUUGUGUGUUGGGUGUGGUCCCCCCGGGGACCUGCCCGAAAGGCAGCGGCGACGUCCGUCUGGUCCUCGAGCGUAUGGGGCUCUGUCACUCGCUCGGGAAGGACCUGCGGGGGUUGGUCACCACCAUGUUUUACCACGGUUGACCUCGGAUCAGGUAGGAGUUACCCGCUGAACUUAAGCAUAUCAAUAAGCGGAGGA